UACGGAGGAUCCGAGCGUUAUCCGGGGUUUAUUGGGUUUAAAGGGUGCGCAGGCGGGGGAUUAAGUCGGCGGUGAAAUUUUGCAGCUCAACUGUAAAAGUGCCUUCGAAACUGGUUUCCUUGAGUGUAGAUGAAGUAGGCGGAAUUUGUGGUGUAGCGGUGAAAUGCUUAGAUAUCACGAGGAACUCCGAUUGCGCAGGCAGCUUACUAAACUACUACUGACGCUCAGGCACGAAGGCGUGGGGAUCAAACAGGAUUAGAUACCCUGGUAGUCCCUGA
rnacentral:rRNA from 1 species